GCAGAUAGACGGUGGAUAUAAUUUGCUUCAAUUUUCUCAGUUAGAUAAGAAGUAAGAUCAUCAGCUGAGAAAAAUGGAAACCUAAACUAUUUUGUAACUGUUGUUUUCUCAAUUCACUUAUUUUAAUCGAGAGAAUGGCCAACUCUGGGAUUGACCACCCACAUGCAUUUUUGGCAAUUAUAUGUAGCAUGUCAUUGACCAAAAAAGUUAUCCUGCAAGAAAUAGUUGAGAAAUCAGGCUUAACCACAUAGAAGCCCGGGGAAUUAUUCCAAAGUCUCCUACCAGAGGCAAUCAUUGAAUCUUUGUGUGUUUGUUCAAAUUGGCUGCUGUUCUCUACAGGAAUAAAAGAGCACUCCUAUUACCUGAGACCUUAAGAGAUCCGAUAGCACGAUAAGAAACAGAACUUAUUAGUUAUAUAUGGCUCACCAAGAAUUUCCUUGGAAUUCCUUGGAAAUAGGGUGGAUUCGUGAAUAAUGAAGUUCCACACCUCCAUCAUCCUUAUCCAUUCACACCAUUUUCAGGACCAAAGAGUAUGCAGAGUUGCUUUGUCUGAAGUUGAAUUUCAGGUAUUAAACCCACCUGCUCCUUCUUCCUCUCAAGUUCCCGAGAGAUUACUGGUGACCAGUCUGGAAACCUCUCA
rnacentral:lncRNA from 1 species